AUGGGCGAAAGCUGAUGCAGCGACGCCGCGUGAGUGAGGAAGUAUUUCGGUAUGUAAAGCUCUAUCAGCAGGGAAGAAAGAAAUGACGGUACCUGAGUAAGAAGCUCCGGCUAAAUACGUGCCAGCAGCCGCGGUAAUACGUAUGGAGCAAGCGUUAUCCGGAUUUACUGGGUGUAAAGGGAGCGUAGGCGGCAGAGCAAGUCUGAUGUGAAAGCCCGGGGCUCAACCCCGGUAGUGCAUUGGAAACUGUUCAGCUCGAGUGUCGGAGGGGUAAGCGGAAUUCCUGGUGUAGCGGUGAAAUGCGUAGAUAUCAGGAAGAACACCGGAGGCGAAGGCGGCUUACUGGACGAUUACUGACGCUGAGGCUCGAAAGCGUGGGGAGCGAACAGGAUUAGAUACCCUGGUAGUCCACGCUGUAAACGAUGAAUACUAGGUGUCGGUACCCGAAGGGUAUCGGUGCCGUCGCAAACGCAUUAAGUAUUCCACCUGGGGAGUACGUUCGCAAGAAUGAAACUCAAAGGAAUUGACGGGGACCCGCACAAGCGGUGGAGCAUGUGGUUUAAUUCGAAGC
rnacentral:rRNA from 1 species